rnacentral:lncRNA from 1 species
GAUAGUGGGACCCUUGGGCUCUGCAGACAGCAGUUUCCCUGUGUCGGCCACAGGGAAACCUGUUGUGGCUAAGGCAGAAGCUGCGUGAAGCGUGUCUCAGCGGGAAGCUGUUCUUGGCACUGCUUACCUUUAGCUCACUGACACAGCAUACCUGUCAUCGCGGGUGACGGUUUCUGUGAAACUCUCUAUCGUGUCUGCUCAUAACCAGGCCAGCCUGGCCUUUCCAGAAUCACUCUUUCUUCCACUGUGCCUACAGUUUUUUCUAAUUGUUUGACUUUGAAGUACUUCCAGAAGGAUCCGUUUGCUGUGCCAGAGGAAAAGUAUGUGGAAAGAUGGAAAGGGAUUUCUUAAAGCAUAAGCAAGGCUUUCAGAUGUGUUUCAUCCUCUUUGUUGUGAAAAGACAGCCGUAUAACACAUUUUCAGUAGUUACCAUUACCUAUUCUGUUCCUGUGAAUGUCAAGAUGCAGCACGUGUGUUGGACAGCACUGAAGUUUCCCGUUAUGAUGUUCAGUCUUAAAGCAGUAGCCAGACGAGGUAGGGGUUCUUCAAAUGCCAGCAGCGUUUUCAACAACUUAUGCAAAUGUUAUUUUCUUGAAUGUCUGACUCGUGUCCUUCUCUUUCCUCGUGCUAUCUACGUUUAAAUGAAAUUCAGCAGAGUAAACAUAGCACUACUCCUAUGCAUGCAUUCACAAACGAGUCUGAGAGCAGUUUGUUAAUCCACGCGCAGUUUGUCAUCUUUAUAAAACAACUGGUCAGAAACUGACUACCCCAAAACGUAGCAGGAGAAUGAACAACAGUGAGCCACCAUAAUCUUCAUCACUUGUGGCCUCCCAGGCUGUGUUUGCAUCAGGAAAGAAAGGUCAAUUCUUUGUUCACCUCCUGUAAGAUACCUGAUUCUGAGCUCAAGCUGUAGGAUGCAUUAAAUAAGCUCUUCUGGAGUUAAUGGACAUAUGCCAAUAUCAUUAGCAAUAGCAUUACGGUCCUGAUAUGUGGCUCAGUGCAGAGCCUGGAGGGGCUGGGCAUAGGUACCAGUUUACAGUACUUUGAACUUUGGAUUAGUGGGGCCAAACUGGUCUCCAGCAUGUUCUAGAGCAGCCUCUGUUACUUUAUCUCCUAGUGUCUCAUAGGAAGCCGGAAAGGCCAGCCCCACCGGGUGCAGAUCACCUAGGCAUGACGGUCACAUCCUGCUUUCAGCCACGGUCCUGGCUGCAUGCAUCCUGGGGCAAUCCUUAACCAGCAGAGACGGUGCAACGUUCUGUCUGGAAUGGUUUUUAUAGGAAGAUAGACUUGUAGAAUUAUAGUCAUUGUGUAAUGCAGUGGUAAACUAUAAAGUUGCUGUGUGGCUCUCCAUUAGGUAAGUUAUCUUAUCAUGCACUGUUUUUCACUAAAGCAAUUUUUUCAUUUUAGUAAUUGAAUAUUUUCAGUAUAUUUUGCUUCUUACCUUGAAG